rnacentral:rRNA from 1 species
UACAGAGGCCUCAAGCGUUGUUCGGAUUCAUUGGGCGUAAAGGGUGCGUAGGCGGCGCGGUAAGUCGGGUGUGAAAUCUCGGAGCUUAACUCCGAAACUGCAUUCGAUACUGCCGUGCUUGAGGACUGGAGAGGAGACUGGAAUUUACGGUGUAGCGGUGAAAUGCGUAGAUAUCAUAAGGAAGACCAGUGGCGAAGGCGGGUCUCUGGACAGUUCCUGACGCUGAGGCACGAAGGCCAGGGGAGCAAACGGG